rnacentral:tRNA from 1 species
UAUGGCAGAUUAGUGCAAAGGAUUUAAACUCCUUCUAUAAAGAUUUUUCUUAUCUUUUAUUAAAA